CAGGGUAUUGUUGCCGAGGAUGCUUCUGAUCUUGUUUCUGGUUUUGCAACAAUUGGUGACGGGUUGAGUGAAUCUGUUGACUAUCCAAAUGAGUACUGGGACUCUGAUGAAUACGAUGACGAUGAUGAUGUUGGCUACAUGCGUCAACCUAUUGAAGACGAGGCUUGGUUUUUAGCACAUGAAAUUGAUUACCCAAGUGACAAUGAAAAGGGUACAGGACAUGGGAGCGUUCCAGACCCUCAUGAGCAGGGUCAAAAUAAGGACGAUGAAGAUGAUCAAUCAUUUGCAGAAGAGGAUUCCUACUUAUCUGGUGAGCAGUAUAUCCAGUCGAAAAAUCUUUCUCCAAUUAUACCUUCAGGUGAUCCUACUGGGCUGUCAGUGACUGAAAAUUACAGGAGAAACGAUGAGAAUGACUUGAUCACCCAAUAUGAUGGACAAUUGAUGGAUGAAGAGGAACUAAAUUUCAUGCGUGCAGAGCCGGUUUGGCAGGGCUUUGUCACGCAGUCAAAUGAACUCAUCAUGCUAGGGGAUGGAAAAGCUCUGAAUGAGUGUGGAAGGCCUCAUCUAGAUGAUAUUUGUGUGGAUGACGAUCAACAUGGUUCUGUCAGAUCUAUUGGUGUGGGGAUUAACAGUAAUGCUGCUGAUAUGGGCAGUGAAGUGAAGGAAACUUUGGUUGGAGGUAGUAGUGAGGGAAACUUUGAGUACUCCCAUGAUCAUCAUAUUAACACUGGUAGGUCUAAACACUCACAGCAUGAUCCAGAUAAUAAUAUUGGUGAACGAAAAGGGAAAAACAGAAUAAGUACACAUAACUUCAGUGAAAAUACAAAGAGUGAUGAUAGGUGUGCAUUUCCACAAGCAAAAAAUCACGUGGAUGGAAGCUUUUCAUUUCCUCCUCCUAGAGGUGGUCAGUUGGUGUCGACAGGCUCGAAUAUAUCCUUGCGGUCAAGCAAGGACAACAAUGCUGUCAGUGAUAAAGCUGAUGAUAAUACAGUGUGUAGCAAUGACGUACUUGCUUCAAGGAGGCAAAAAAGCACCAACUCUUCGCCUGCCAAGAGCUCAAGGGACGAAAACACUGCUACUGCUGUAGGAUCAGUGAAUUCUAGUCCAUCAUCUCUUUCAAAUUAUGGGUAUAUUGAGAGAGAGCAUGUAAAGAGAGAAGAGGAUGCAAAAACAUCUAAUGUAAGAGAAGAUGAUCCUGGGGCAUCUUUAGAGGAUGAGGAGGCUGCUGCCGUGCAAGAGCAAGUGAAGCAGAUAAAGGCUCAAGAGGAAGAAUUUGAGACCUUCAAUCUUAAGAUUGUCCACAGGAAAAACAGGCAUGCAUUUCUUCUAUGUAGUUAUAUGAAUUGUUCGACUAAUUAUUCUUGUUAUUCAAAGUCAUGCUCUUAAGAGAAAUAUCCUUGUUAUUCACUUUGUGAUUACAUUGAAUAAAGUAGGUUUUCAUAACUUCCCAUAUGUAGAGUUUGAAGUGGAACACAUUUGUCUCCUUUUGAAUUGGAGUAGGGCUAAAUUGAGUAAGUUUACUUGAUAUUUGGCCUCUGCACUUGGCUACCCAGUGUUUACCUUGUAACCGUGGGCACAAUAACUGGUACAUCAAAGGUGUGUCUUUCCCGGUCCUCUCGUACCGGGGAAAGGUCCUCUCAAUGCUCUAGUGCCUACAAUAUAGGGAAUUGAUAUGCAUGUAUGAAGAGAAUAUUGUAGAAUAAUAUAUAUACAAUGAAGCCUCUAUCUUUAUUCUAGAGUAGAACUUUAUAGACUAAGAGAUAGAUAGUAUGGUCAGAAAGAAUUAGUAGGACAUUCAAUUCUGGCAAAGGGAUUAUAUGGCUACACUCGUCAAAAUAACAAAAUAGAACUUAUUUGCAUGUUAACUCUAGUAUAUGUUGUCAAUUUCAUCGAAACAUCCAAGUAUUUUUCUUCUUCUUCUGUACUUUUUCUGUUUUGGUCGACAAACACAGUGGUUCUGUUGGCAGUCUGCCUUGUCUUGUUCAUGAUUACAAAAUGGCAACAUUUGGGGCAUUACAUGGGCAUUACUCACAGGUGUUUUACAGGGCUCCUCACUGUGCAGGGGCCCCACAUGUAUUUAAAAAAAAAAAAAAAAAAAAAAAUUUACGUGGACCCCACGCAUGUGUGUGGCCUGGCAGGGACCUGUGAAAAAGGUCCCUGUAAGCCUAGCGUUUUCUACAUGUUUGACUUAAAGCGUUAAAAUUUAAGAAUUAAGAUAAUACACCUCCUUCAAUGCUUAUUAUGUCCGAGUAUAUGGUGCAGUUAGCUAUAUUUUCAUCUGUACCAAUAAAAUUGAGUUUGAAGAAAGAUUUUGGUUCAAGUUAAUUGCAUCAAGAGACAUCAAUCACAUCUUGAUAUAUGCUGUUUACCUUGUCAGAGAUAUCCUUUCUCAAAAUCUUCAGGCUAUUUCAGAAUUUUUGAUGUCUUGUGGGUUUCUUUCUACUAUGAAUAAUUUUCUUUUCUUUUUUUAACGUUUAACUUUAGGUCAGUUGUUAACUGGGUUCUGUUUGCUACUCAGAACUGGCUUCGAGGAGGACAAAAGUUUCCAUGUUGUUUUAAAUUCAGUAAUUGCUGGGCGCUAUCAUGUCACUGAAUAUCUUGGGUCAGCUGCUUUCAGUAAAGCCAUUCAGGCACAUGACCUUCAUAUGGGCAUUUGUUUUUCUUUUCGAGAAGUGUUUUUGCCUUCUAGGGUUUCGGUAAAGCGCAGAUCUUUAUGAAAUCCUUCGAAGUUUUUACGUUAAAUCCAAUAAAAAGUAGGGUCCUUUAAUUUUAUAAAUUUUCUUAUAUGUUUAUAUUUAUAGGGAUGCAUGAAAACUGUGAUUUUUACUCCGUUUUGCUCUAUCUUUUAACUUUUGGUAGAAAGUUCGACACUAACAAAUUCUUGUUUUAUGUUAUCUAGUUAAGCUUGGAAAAAAUGUAAAGUGAGGUUCUCUUGAUUAGGGUUUGAAACUCAAUGUAAUCACAUUUAUUGAGUUCGAAAUGUAGUCUAAGUUGAGUAUAAUUAUUGGAAUUUUGUUCUGUUUUGAAUGUUUACAGAUUCAGUCCAAUUAUUAGGAAGUGUUUGCAUAUAAAUGGCAGAGUCUUCAGUGGACAGUAUAUUGGAAUUUCUAAGAAGAAAUAAAUUUAAAAAAGCUGAGGCUGCAUUGUGCAAUGAACUGUAUGAUAGACCCGAUUUAAAUGGGUUUCCUCAAAAACUCACGCUUGAAUACAAAGCAUCAGGUAGUAAAUUGCGCGAAGAAGCAAAUGGGGAAAAUGUAAUUGAAGAAGAUGGAAGGAUGACCUUUUUGCCAACUAGUGGAGAAGGAGCUAAGGAGCCAACAAGUUCUCCAAGUAGUGGGGAGGUUUCUAAGGAGCUUAUUGUGAAGGAAAUACAGUGUGGGACGGGGAGAAAUGGGUCUGAGAGCAAUUGGAAAAGCAAUAGUUAUCAGCAAGAUCAGAGUGAGGUUAAUGAGUCAAUCAAGACGAGAGAUAAGAACGUUACCUUCUCCAAGAGUUCAGAUGAUACUAUGCUUGAUUUGUAUUCGUGGAAGUACAAUCCAGGUAAUGGUCUGGUUCCUUCUUAUCAAAAUGAUGGUGAAAACAACUUUUCUGGCUUUCGGGUUCAUGGAAAGUCUAUGCUGAAUUCAACUGAGAUUCUCGAUAGCAGCAAGGCUAAUGCAAAAUCAGGGGAAGAUGUUAGUAAACCCAAAUGGAGUGACAAAAGUCAGCUUAAGGAAGUUGAUCAACAGCAAAAGCUAAGUGGCAUGUGCUCAAAUGACAGCCUUGUGGAUAAUCCCUGGUCUAUAAGUGAUGAAUCAUCACAUCAGCCAUCAGAGCUGCGGAGAAAUUGUUUGGUUAAAAUGGUUUUCCCCUUCUCCAAGGGAGACACAUCAGCCUGUUAUGAUAGCGCUUCCGUUAUUGGUGGUAAAGAGGAGGGAAAAAGAAAAACAGAACUUGGCGACAUUAGGACUGUGAUUAAGGAUCAAGUGGAUGAGGUGGGAAGAGCUCUGUACUUUGGGAAGACUCAUGGAGGUGAUCCAAAAGAUUUCAGUGCAUUGGAUUUUCCACUCACAUCUGAGAAUCAGAAGGAAGAGUUACCAAGGUUACCACCAGUGAGACUCAAGUCAGAAGACAAGUCCUUCAGUAUUCACUGUGACGAGAAGUUCGAAGAUGAACCCGGUCCGAAUAUCAUGAGUGCUGACAAUGUCAUAGGGUCAUUUCUGGAUGUGCCUAUCGGACAAGAAGGUCUCCCCUCAAAUUUACUAUGUUUAUGGUAUACUUAGCAUGAUUGCUGAUAUGAUGGUUUUUAAUUCACAUUUUACCUAGGUCAGGGUUUACUGUAUGAGAACUAAAAUUAGCUAACAAACAUACAAUGAAAGUAACUGAUCAUCGCAGGAGAAUCAUGCUUUCUGUUUCUGCUUUCUUCUGAUUUCUAUUUAAUUGUUAGAUGUUUUAUUUAGUAAUGCACCCAAAAGUUUAUUUAUUUCUUGAAGAUUCAGCUUCAUUCAGCUAUGCCAAAUCAAAAGACAAGCACAACUGCAAAAAUAACCAUUCAAUGCUACAAUUUGUUAGAAUACUGUUUUUGGUAUGAACAAUCUGCAUUUAGAUCAACUUAAGCACAAAAGUUUUGCUUUCCAUUAAUGCAAAAUUAUUUCUUUUCCUUAUGUUACCUGCAGUUUCAUUGUCUAGAAUAAUGAAAAAGGCAAAGAGAGAGUGGACUGUCUUCCUAAAUAGAGAUGGAAACUAUAACUAGAAAGAUUAUAAUUCUCUUAUUCGACGCUUAUUUCUCUCUUUAUUUUUAACAAGAAUUCUCCUGUUUCUCAUUUCUUUCAAGUUCAUCUCUUUCCUUCUCUUCGGGCAAAUCGCAGCCAUUAAAUUUCUUUUAAGUUUGCAUUUCCAUUGAGUGACUAUUCAAUUAUUGGCCUCUGUAUUUAAUACGAUUCUCUGCUUAUCCUGUCAUAUAAUCUGCGUCUCCUGGUUUUCAAUGAUCCAUUUGUUAUUUUUCUUGAUUCCUAGUCUCCCUCUUUGACUCCUUUAAUUUAUGUUGUUCUUCCAAAUGAUGAUGCAGUUGGUAAAAAGACUGGAGGAGGUAAUUGGCUUUCAGUAAGUCAGGGUAUUGUUGCCGAGGAUGCUUCUGAUCUUGUUUCUGGUUUUGCAACAAUUGGUGACGGGUUGAGUGAAUCUGUUGACUAUCCAAAUGAGUACUGGGACUCUGAUGAAUACGAUGACGAUGAUGAUGUUGGCUACAUGCGUCAACCUAUUGAAGACGAGGCUUGGUUUUUAGCACAUGAAAUUGAUUACCCAAGUGACAAUGAAAAGGGUACAGGACAUGGGAGCGUUCCAGACCCUCAUGAGCAGGGUCAAAAUAAGGACGAUGAAGAUGAUCAAUCAUUUGCAGAAGAGGAUUCCUACUUAUCUGGUGAGCAGUAUAUCCAGUCGAAAAAUCUUUCUCCAAUUAUACCUUCAGGUGAUCCUACUGGGCUGUCAGUGACUGAAAAUUACAGGAGAAACGAUGAGAAUGACUUGAUCACCC
rnacentral:lncRNA from 1 species